rnacentral:lncRNA from 1 species
CCAGAAGACUGUUGGAAUCACAGACAAGAAGUCCUGCUUGCAAGUCCCUCGGUUUAUGCUCAACUGGACAGGUUAGCAUAUCGAUGAAAAGCGCAGUGUUCAGCAUCUUCUUGGAGAACGUUAUAGAAGACUCAUCCGUAAUCCACAUCAUUAAGAUAUAAACAAACGAGAUGAUCACUCCUCUUUUUUUGUUUUCCUUCACACUUGGAAUUCAUCAACAAGUGCAAGCUUGUGGUGGUGAAUAUAAUGCUUCGUACGGUUCCAUUACGUCACCAUUGUACCCGAGUCAGUACCCGCCUGAUCAGGACUGUGUUUACAUCAUCAGAGCACCAACAGGAUAUCGGAUCACCUUGACAUUUCUAAGCUUUGAGCUGGCAGCUGAUAUUAUUGACUGUAAGCAGGACUAUCUACAGAUUAGAGAUGGCGGCUCAGGGACG